CCUGCAUAGACGCCCAGGACCUCGGGCGGCGCAUACUGUGCCACCAGGCCCCCGCUGGGCGCCAGAGCACAGGUCCGGGGAGUGGCUGGCAGCUCAGGACCUGGGAAGUUGGACAAAAAGGAUGUUGCAGGUUGAUUAGGAACCUCAAGAUAUGAAGCCGGGACAUGGUUCCCAGGAUAAAGGCACUUGCCACCAAGCUUCAGUCUGAUCCUUGGAUCCACAUAGCAGAAGGAGAGAACCAAUCCCCCCGCCCCGUCAAGUUGUCCUCUGGCUUCCACCAAUGCACUAUGGGAGAAAAAUGAGAGGGGAUCAGAAAAAAAAAUGUCUUCCUGAAGACCCGGAACAUACCGAACACCAAGGUCAUACAGUUUAUCCAGGUUCAAAGCCAUCCUCACACCUGGGCCAAAGCAACAGUUAAGAUCUGCACACUGGAUUACUUCAGAGAAUACAGCCGCUGCCUCCAAGUCAUGUGAUGAUGACUUUGUCAUUGAUAUCAAAGCAGAACAGGAACCUGCUGAUAAAGGCCAACAUCAAGACUUAGAAGACACAGAUACUUCACAGGAUGCACUUUCUGAGGCCAAGCUAUGUGAAGAUGUAAUGAUUAAUAUCCCAGAAGAGCAGAAGGAGCCCCCUGACUAAUAAACUUAUAUAUUAUCUUAAAGGGAGAACAAUGAAAUGUUAUCCAGAAAAAAAAAAGUUUUCCUGAAGACUCGGAACAUUCUGAACACACAAGUUUGCUUUCCUGAUCAUCACAAGAUGCAGUAUCUGCAGGUUCAAAGCCAUCCUCACUUGCCCCAGGACCAGUAUCAGGGCUUUGGACACACGAUACUUCACAGAAUGCAGCUGCUGCAUCCAAGUCAUGUGAAGACAUUGUGAUUGAUGUCCCAGAAGAGCAGGAACCUCCUGAUACAGGCUAACAUCAAGACUUGGAAGACACAGUUGCUUCAUAGGAUACACGUUCUGAGGCCAAGCUAUCUGAAGAUGUCAUUAUUGAUAUCCCAGAAGGGCAGAAGGAGCCCCCUAACCAGUCAAAGGAUUCUUAAAGCUGCCACAAUCCUCUUUGUGUGUAGGCUCAAGAUCUGGACAGUUCAAAAUGUUGGAAAAAUUCCAAGAUAGGCCAAAACCAGAUAUAAAUACUAUACAUAAUAUACACAUAUGUAUAAUACUAAUACGCACAUGUUAGUAUAUACAUAUUUGUGUAUGUUUUAUAUAUCACAAAUAACAUUUACAUUUCCUACGCUUUGGCUUUUUUAAACUGUUAAGGUGUCAUAUUCAAACAGUAGGUAACAACUUCAGCUGAACACUUGCAUUUCUCAGGAGGAUGGACAUUUGAAAAAAAAAUCAGUGCUGCUUAUCACUGCAUGAAUGUAAUGCUCUGGACUGAAAAUGUAAAUAUAAAAUUAAGGUUAAUUUAAUCAUAAUCAUAAUUAUGUGCCAUAUAGUUUACAUAACUAUACUUCAAUUACCUGCAUUUCAAUAGAUGCAAUACCAUUUUCUGAAACUCUUACAUAGCUUCCUCUUUUCCUCUUUUCUUUUGUCUUUUUUUUUUUUUUUUUGAGACAGGGUUUCUUUGUAUAUCCUUGGCUGUCCUGGAACUCCCUCUGUAGACCAGGCUUGCCUUGACUCACAGAGACCCGCCUGCCUCUGCUUCCUGAGUGCUGGGAUUAAAGGCGUGUGCCACCACCGCCCGGCUAGUAAGACUUUUUAAUAAAAGUACCAUUGAACAUUU